AAGUUGGCCACUCAACCCACUGAGCUACUCAGGAGGAGAGGAUGUGCAGAGCCACGUGGGGAAGCACCAAGGUGGGUCAAGAAGAGAAGAAUCAAGGAGAAAACAAAACCACAGAGCCUCAGCUGCAGUCUCCAUGAGAAGGACUGAGUGAGGCAAGCUGCUGUAGCUCCUGGUCACCUUGCUGGAUGGAUUCAGUGUCACAAAGACUCAGACAUGGAAAAAA